rnacentral:rRNA from 1 species
GAUGAACGCUGGCGGCGUGCUUAACACAUGCAAGUCGAACGGCAGCGCGGACUUCGUGCUGGCGGCGAGUGGCGCACGGGGGUGUGAUGUACCGGAGCAUGCCCCGUAGCAGGGGAUGACAACGCGAAAGCGUAGCUGAUACCACAUACGACCUACGGCUGAAACAAGGGGGUCGUAAGACCUUGCCCGAUUUGAGGGACCGACAUCGGGUUUGCUAGCUGGUUAGGUAACGGCUGACUAAGGCGACGAUCCGUAGCUGGCUUGAGAGGACGACCGGCCACACGGGGACUGAGCCACGGCCCAGACUCCUACGGGAGGCAGCAGUGGGGAAUGUUGGGCAAUGGGGGCAACCCUGAUCCAGCCAUCCCGCGUGUGAGAUGAAGGCCUUCGGGUUGUAAAGAACUUUUGGGAGGAAAGAAACGCUGCGGGCUAAUACCCCGCGGAACUGACGGUACCUGCAGAAGAAGCACCGGCUAACUACGUG